rnacentral:rRNA from 1 species
AUGAGGGGGCUGAGUAGGAGGGACAGAGAAGAGCCUAUUAACGGAGAGCGGAUUUUCAGCGGACGAGCACCUUGGGAGUCCAAACAGUGUGAGCAAUUACUGAUAGGAUGCCGUCCACUCGUCCCACAUCCUUUCUCUUUCAUACUACUUCGUUCAAAUCUUCCUGAUGUUUCUCAUUUGUAUGAUGACAUUUUGGAUGUUAGGUUCUUUUUUUAUGCUUCAGAAAUGUUAGAGCUGAAGCUCUGCAGUUCAGAUGUAACAUACCUGAAUAUGAUUGCAGUGAUGGAAACCCAAGGAUUUAGUGAAUAUGAUCUGCUGUUUCACAUUGAGAAUCCAGAUUUAGGGGAGAAAGGAUUGGAGAUGGUAGAGAGUAAUGCUGAGUUGCAACUAGUAAAGAGGCAGGUUGAGGAGUGUAAGGUUUUAAAUUUGCUAGUGAGGGCAUGUCCACCUCCUUGCAGCAAGUUUGAGAGGCAAGAAUUAUCCACUGUUGUGUAUGAAGAGCCUGUGUUAUAUGAUCUCAGUGAGCCACCCAUCUAUGCUGUUGAUGAAGAAGGAGUUGCCUUUGAAAGUCAGAGUAGCAGCUGCAGUUUAGUAGCUCAUGGUACUGGUGUUUGCACACAAGAGAGCAAGAAUGUAAAAGGAAAACUGAAAGCUGUUUUGGAAAUAGAAGAAGAAGAGGGAUAUGAUGGCAGUGGUGGUUCUGAUUGUGAAGGUGAAGAUGACAGUGAUGUAAACCCUUUUUAUAUGGGUGAUGCUGAUGACAUAGAGAUGGAUGAGGGAAAGAAACAGAGAGAGUAUGAUGAAGUAGAAGAGGAAGAAACAGAUGAUGAAGAAUCUGAGGAGGAAGAAAUGGUGCAUUACUCUGGUGACACAGAGGUUGAGGAACCUUUUGAAAUGGAUGAAGAUGACAAGGUUGUUUCACAGGAUGAAGAAACUGUAAUUGUACAUGAAGAGAAGAAGAAGAAGAAACAGAAGCUUCCAGUUAGGAAAGGGCCUACAACAAGGACACAUUCAAGUGUAGUUCAAGAGGAGGAACCUGAUUUCCAACCUUCAUCUGAUGAAGAAGAGAAAGGAUUGUUGAAGGAGGCUGAUGAUGAUGGUUAUGAGCCAUUGUCAUUUGUGCUGCCAAAGGAAAGGAAGAGCAGGGCAAAGCAGAGGCCUCCUAGAAAAUGGUACAAUGAGAAAAUGGAGGCACCACAUGAGCAAUUAUGUCUACAGAUGUGUUUCAAGGAUCAACAUCAAUUCAGAGAGGCUUUGUUGAACUUACACAUCACUCAAGGCAGAAACUUCAAAUAUCAUAGGAACUCAGAUCAAAGAAUAAUUGUAGAAUGCAACCAAAAACAUUGCAACUUCUUUAUGGUGGCAGCAGUUAUAAAAGGUGAAACUACUUUUGUAAUUAAGAAGAUGAGAAUUAAGCACACUUGCCCUAUUAGUACAGAGACAACAAGGGUAAGUGCCAAGUGGCUUGCACAGAAGUAUGAGUCACUGUUCAGAUCUGAUCUAACAACUGGCAUUCAGACUUUGAUUGAUGCCUGCAUGGAGAAGUAUGGUGUGGAUGUGCCCAAGUCAAUGGCAUAUAGGGCAAAGAACCUAGCUAUUGAUGAUGUGCUAGGAGACCACAAGAAGCAAUACCCUAGGUUGAAAGACUAUGCUCAGACAGUGAUGGAUACAAACCCUGGGCGUAGAGUAGUAGUCACUACUGUAACUCCAACACCCACUGAAAAAAUCCCCCAUCCAGGUCCAAGAUUCCAUGCUAUGUUCUAUUGCAUCAAUGGAGCAAGGGAGGGGUUUCUCAAGGGGUGCAGACCAUUCAUUGGUGUUGAUGGGUGCUUCAUUAAGUUAACUACUGGUGCUCAACUACUUGAUGCCACUGGUAGAGAUGGCAACAACAAUAUAUACCCACUAGCAUUUGGUAUUGUUGGGCAAGAGGACACACCUAACUGGUGUUGGUUUCUACACCAACUUAAAAUCUGCCUAGGAGGAGAAGUGGGAAGGUUUGGUCCAUAUACAAUAAUGUCAGAUAGACAAAAGGGCCUACUAAAUGCAGUGAAUGAUGUCUUUCCUAAGUGCAACCAAAGGUUCUGCCUUAGGCAUAUCUAUGCAAACUUCCAAAAUGCUGGGUUUAGGGGGGAAGAUCUGAAAAAGUGUAUGGAUAAUGCUGCCUAUGCAUAUAGUGAACACAAAUUUAACAUUGCAAUGAAUGACCUUAGAGAUGAGUGUGAGCAAGCUUGGGAGUGGCUUUGUCAAAUACCCAAGAAAACAUGGGCAAGGCAUGCAUUUGACACAAACUGCAAGACUGACCUUGUAGUUAACAAUUUAUCUGAGGUGUUCAACAAGUAUGUCCUAGAUGUUAGGAAGAAACCAAUUAGGACAAUGUGUGAUGGAAUAAAGGAUAAGCAGAUGGUGAGGUGGCAUAGGAAUAGGGAGAGUGGAAAGAAAGCUAGAUGGGACAUAACACCCCAUUAUAGUGAGAAGCUAGAGGUUGAGAAGGAGAGGGCCAAAUAUUGCAAACCAAUUCAUGCUGGUGUGGACUUGUGGCAAGUUACAAGUGGGCAGCAAACCCAUGCUGUUAACUUGCAAAUGCACACAUGUGGGUGCAGAAAAUGGGACCUAAGUGGCAUCCCAUGUAACCAUGCCAUCUCAGCAAUAAACAAGGCCAAAAGAAAACCAGAGGAUUAUGUCAGCAAGUUCUUCAAGAAAGAAAUUUAUCUGGCAGCUUAUGAACCAAUGAUCUAUCCAGUUCCUGGUGAGCAUGACUGGACAAGGACCCCUGGUCCAGACAUUGACCCACCUGCAUUUAAAGUGAAGAGAGGAAGAAAGAAAGAGAAGAGGAUCAAGGGGAAAUUUGAAGUUCCAAAGCCUAAGGAGACAUCAAGAAUGGGGACUAUAACAUGUGGCAAUUGUGGACUGCAAGGACAUAGGUACACAAGCUGCAACAAGCAGUUGAAGCCUGAGCUGGCUUUGAGGAAGAACAAACAUGUGCCUCUUGCAUGGAAUUCCAAUGCUGGUGCUGCUGCUACUACACAAGCAUCAAGAACUUCUCAUCCAACUCCUACAACAACACCAACAGCUGGAACAGGAGCUGGGAGAGGAGCUGGGAGAGGGGCUGCAGCUGCAGCUGCUGGGAGUGGUGCUGCUAGAGGUGCUGGUAGAGGUGCUGGUAGAGGUGCUGCACCAGGUGCUGGGAGAGGUGCUGGGAGAGGGAGAGGUACAUUCUCUGCCCCAAGGCAAUCUGGUCCCUCCACAUCUACUGCUCCCUCUACAUCUACUGCUACUCCACCUUCUGGUGGUAGAAACAGAGGAUGGAGAGCCUACUUCUAUGCAAGUGGUAACCACUAA